GACGAACGCUGGCGGCGUGCUUAACACAUGCAAGUCGAACGGUGAAGGGACCGGUUUUUGCUGGUUCUGGAUGAGUGGCGAACGGGUGAGUAACACGUGAGUAACCUGCCCCCUUCUUCUGGAUAACCGCAUGAAAGUGUGGCUAAUACGGGAUAUUCUGCGCCUGCUGCAUGGUGGGUGUGGGAAAGAUAUUGUUUCGGGGGGGGAUGGGCUCGCGGCCUGUCAGCUUGUUGGUGGGGUGGUGGCCUACCAAGGCGGUGACGGGUAGCCGGCCUGGGAGGGUGGACGGUCACGCUGGGACUGAGACACGGCGCAGACUACUACGGGAGGCGGCAGUGGGGAAUAUUGCACAAUGGGCGCAAGCCUGAUGCAGCGGCGCCGCGUGAGGGAUGGAGGCCUUCGGGUUGUAAACCUCUUUCGCCAGUGAAGCAGGCCUGUCCCUGUGGUGGGUGGGUUGACGGUAGCUGGAUAAGAAGCGCCGGCUAACUACGU
rnacentral:rRNA from 1 species